rnacentral:rRNA from 1 species
GACGAACGCUGGCGGCGUGCUUAACACAUGCAAGUCGAACGGAAAGGCCCUGCUUGCAGGGUACUCGAGUGGCGAACGGGUGAGUAACACGUGGGUGAUCUGCCCUGCACUUCGGGAUAAGCCUGGGAAACUGGGUCUAAUACCGGAUAGGAGCCAUUUUUAGUGUGAUGGUUGGAAAGUUUUUUCGGUGUAGGAUGAGCUCGCGGCCUAUCAGCUUGUUGGUGGGGUAAUGGCCUACCAAGGCGGCGACGGGUAGCCGGCCUGCGAGGGUGGACGGCCACACUGGGACUGAGAUACGGCCCAGACUCCUACGGGAGGCAGCAGUGGGGAAUAUUGCACAAUGGGCGCAAGCCUGAUGCAGCGACGCCGCGGGGGGGAUGACGGCCUUCGGGUUGUAAACUCCUUUCGCUAGGGACGAAGCUUUUUGUGACGGUACCUAGAUAAGAAGCACCGGCUAACUACGUG